CACAGCUAUGACGCGACACAGAUCAAGUCAAUAAGACUCGAGAUGCCAACUACAGAGGACAGCGAGAAUUAGCAGAGAGGAACUCCAAAACAGCGCUCAUGCUGAAUCAUAUCGGCCUUGGGAUUGGCCUUGUUGUUAUUGUAUUGAUUAUUAUCAUCCAGAUGACGAAAUGAAGAUAAAAGUUGGAGCUGACAUGGCUGGAUGAAGAUUACAAACAGAUUUGUUUUUCUUUAUUUUAAAUGUUACUUGCUCAAUUUAUCAUUAUUCUUAUGCUUUAAGGCUGAUUAUUCUAUGUUUAAACCAAUGAAAGCUACCAUGCAGUUUUCUGUUCUCUUUACUUCUAAAAUGUUUUGUUUAGACUUUUUGCUUAUAUUAAAUAUCUUGUGUGCA